GUCAAUGUUGGCUUCCGUAUUUUGCCAUUGCCCGUGAAGCACAGUGAGGUGAGCAGAGCCACAGAAGCAAACAAAGCCGGAAAAACGAGUAAAACAAACUUUGGCGUCGUCACUCUGUCGUUUUUGAUCGUUAGCACGGUGAGAAGCUUCCUUACUGAUGAAGUGUGGAUGCUAAAAUAAGCUCUGAAGCAGUUUUUGUCGAACACACCUGCAGCACGAAGGUGUCACCACUUUGUCCCUGUACCAAGAUGAUGUUCACUGAGACCAGAUGAUCCACAGAUGGCCUCCAAGUAAGACCACUGAGCACUGACGUUAAAUUGUGUGGCCACUGUCCAUGAUUGCAGUUCUCAUCCAAUGAAGGAGUUCUUUGAGACCAUCAGAUCCACAACAGAGAGGUGAACUCACAGAGACCAAUGCAUCCACUGAAAGUGAAGGUGGAGGCUGGUGGUGGAAGCAGCAGGUGAAGUUCUGGACCUGAAGUGGAUGACAAACAACAGUUGUGAACUUGUUAAUUCAUAUCAAAUGGACACAGGCCACCUCCUCCAGUCAGUGUUGGAGUCUCUUACAGGUCCCACAUGCAUGAGCACAUUUCCAAAGACUAACUGCUUGUAAUACAGGCAGCAGCAAGUGUGCUCACAACUACAUGAUGUGUAGGUGAGAAUAAAACAAAGCACCUCCCAGUGGUCAAAUGUCUGUCAGUGUUUAAUCUCUGAAACAAAAUGGUUCUAACUUUGCAGUUGCAUGUUUAUACAUUAACUAUGAUUUAACACUGUUUAAUAGCAGUUCAUAGAAUCACUUUAUUAUUUUCUAUUAAGCAAAAAUGCAAUUAAUAAUAUUCAUUGAGUUAAGUCAUAAAGAUGUUUAACAACCAAUGGGCUGAGAGCUACAGACAGAGCCAAGCUAUUGUGACUAGUUAUCACUCAGCAUCAACUCAUGCUAAAGCUGUUAAUCCACAUUAUACAGACAAAUGUACCUUAUGUUUACUUUACACUAAUAAAAGCCCUGAAACAGUAGAGCCAGCUCAUCCUUAACACUGUACAAAUACACCUGAGUUACACAACAGAGCAAAGUGCCUCCUACUGGUUAAAAGUGUAUCGUCUGUACUUAAUAUUGUCUAGAACAAAAUCAUUAAAAUAUG